rnacentral:rRNA from 1 species
AGUGAACGCUGGCGGUAGGCCUAACACAUGCAAGUCGAACGGCAGCACAGUAAGAGCUUGCUCUUACGGGUGGCGAGUGGCGGACGGGUGAGGAAUACAUCGGAAUCUACUUUUUCGUGGGGGAUAACGUAGGGAAACUUACGCUAAUACCGCAUACGACCUACGGGUGAAAGCAGGGGAUCUUCGGACCUUGCGCGAUUGAAUGAGCCGAUGUCGGAUUAGCUAGUUGGCGGGGUAAAGGCCCACCAAGGCGACGAUCCGUAGCUGGUCUGAGAGGAUGAUCGGCCACACUGGAACUGAGACACGGUCCAGACUCCUACGGGAGGCAGCAGAGAGGAAUAUUGGACAAUGGGCGCAAGCCUGAUCCAGCCAUACCGCGUGGGUGAAGAAGGCCUUCGGGUUGUAAAGCCCUUUUGUUGGGAAAGAAAAGCAGCAGGUUAAUACCCCGCUGUUCUGACGGUACCCAAAGAAUAAGCACCGGCUAACUUCGUG